GGUCGACCACUCCUCCGCGGCCGCGCCACAGCUGUUUGUGGAGACGUCCGCAAUAGUAAUUUUCUCCAAAUUCUUGAUGUAACUUUUUUGCACCCAUAUGUAUUUUUUACUAUUUUCUUACAUCUAGAGCGAUAGAAGUUUAAUGUGUACCCAAAAUUCCUGAUGUAACAUUUUUCCAACUAUAUGUAUUUUUUACUUUUUUCUUA